rnacentral:rRNA from 1 species
UACGUAGGGUGCGAGCGUUAAUCGGAAUUACUGGGCGUAAAGCGUGCGCAGGCGGCGCGUUAAGACAGGUGUGAAAGCCCCGAGCUUAACUUGGGAAUUGCGCUUGGUGACUGGCGUGCUGGAGUGUGGCAGAGGGAGGUGGAAUUCCACGUGUAGCAGUGAAAUGCGUAGAGAUGUGGGAGGAACACCGGAUGGCGAAGGCAGCCUCCUGGGGCCAGCACUGACGCUCGAUGCACGAAAGCGUGGGGGAGCAAACAGG